UUAACAAGAGAAAAGCAUGCACUUUAUUUCAUACACGUUUUACAAGAAAUGGGAGCCUUCAUAAGGAAAUGAAGAUCCAAAGAAGCGUUAAAACCAAGUGUUUUUAUGCUAGGUUUGAUGAAGAGAGUCAUAGAAGAAUGUGAUAGGACAAAGGUUGUGAGCUAAGUCCAGCAAACUAGGGGAAAUUUAGCAAGGCCUGUGCAUUAGAUUCCUUUCCGUGUCCCUUCAUCUUUAAGAUAGGAUGCUCCUGUCCUCCAGGAAGAGGGAGGGCAGCUCUCAUGUCAGGGUCUUAUAAUCUGCUUCAGGGGAAGGCCAGGGAGCCUUUCCUGCAUGUGCUAUUUCUCAAAUUCCUUCAGCUUAAAAUACUUAAUAUGCCAAGGUGCCAUAUUUUGGGGUAGCAAGUCGUGAAUCCCAUCUCUGUGAAAACUUCUUUUGGUUUCUUCCUUGGUAGAGUAUUUAGUGAUUUAUAAAAAAAAAAUUGCUCGGAUUUUACUUAAGGAGACACUGUGAUCCUUCUGAAAUGUAAUUAUUUUAUAAUGUGAAUAAUUUAACCCUCUGAUUUUUCUGUGGCAAGACGUUUUGAUACUAAGUAGUUAUGGAGCUGGGGGAGGUAGUGUGCACUUGUAGUCUCAGAUACUUGGGAGACUGAGGUGGGAGGAUCACUUGAGCCCAGGAGUUCGAGGUUACAGUGAACUAUGAUCGCACCACUGCACUCCAGCCUGGGAGACAGAGGAACACUCCAUUUCUAAAAAUAAUAACAAUGACAAUAAUAAUAAGUAGUCAUGAAAAUGUAAAAGGCCAGGGGAGUGUUCAUGAAGGUCUGUUUCUAUGGCAAGAUUUCUUUUUUCCCACUAUCAGUAACCACACUUCUGCCCCGACCGCGAGCCUGUAUUUUUAUGGAGGGCAUUAAGUAACUCUGUCUAUAAAAAAUUACUGAGAGAGCAGCCAGGCGCGGUGGCUCACCCAAUAAAUUUUCUUUAUAAAUUACCCAGUCUGUGGCAAUGUUAUGGCAGCACAAAAUGCUCUAAAACAAGAGAAUGGGGAAGAAUUGUGGGGUAGGAGAAAAGGAUGCUUCAGGGCUUCUCUGAAAAUGUGACACUUACACUAGAAUUUGAAAGAUAAAUAACAGUAAAUUAGGUGAAAAUUGUGGGGGAAAGAUUUUUAAGCUUUAAGACUGCAAAAACAAAAACUUGUACAGGAAAACUAAAAUAGUUACAAUUUAGUAUAUGACUUGCUAUUAAAAGUGUUUACAUAGUCACAAUAAAGUUAAAAUUUGAACAUUGAUCUAACCAACUUUAUAGUUAACUAUAUUGGGAGGCUGGGGGGAUGCGAAGGACUCACAUAUGUGAUGAUGACCAAGAAGAUAAAAAAGAGAAAAAUCCUAAUCUUUCUUCUGAAAAAUUAACAGAUAAUACAAUGGAGGAAAAAAGGAAAAAUUACAAGUAGCAAUGGAAUCAUGUUAAUUUAGAAAUAUAGCAAUACUGAAAGAAUCAGCUUAAAGAGGUAAAAGUAGUUGCCUCCAGGUUGCGCUAAAUGGGGUAAACAUUUGCUAGUUUUCUGUGUACUUAUCAAAAAUGCAAUCCCAACUAGAUUUUCCACUAGGUUAUAAGAUCCCUGAAGCAAUGAUUUUGGUAUUUGUAUGUUUUGUUUCCCAGCACCUAGAAUAGUACCUGAUUUAUAAAAGAUGCUCAAUGAAUAGUUGCUGAAUGAAUAAUGCCCACUUUCUAUAAACUGCCUAAAUAUCAUCUCUAGAUAUUUAGACACAUCAGAUAUUUAGACACACUACUUCAUUUUCUUGGACCUCUUUUCCAGAGUCUUUUGACCUAUUCCAAUCUGGACUUGCUGCCUUUUACUUCUGGUCCAAAAUCGUCUUCCUAGGAUCUUCUACCACCAUUACCUUAAAGAUUAUCUUUUUUUCCUCUUUUUUCUUUUUAUUGAGGCCUCAGAAAAAAACUGUUCUCCUCUUCUUCCAUAGUUACAGAUAGGUUGCCCAGCGAAGAACUGCAUUUCUCACCUAUAGAGAUGUAGCUGAGGUUGGUUUCCUAGCAAGGAACCACAUUUCCCAGACUUCUUUGCAGCCAGAUAAGGCUGUGUGAUUAAGUUCUUACCAGUGAACUCUGAGUGAGUGAGAUGUUUGGAACUCCCACUUCUAUUUCUUUUUUUAUAGUGACAACACCUUACGUUGCCCAGACUGGUCUCAAACUCCUGGGCUCAAGCAAUUCUCCUGCCAUGGCCUCCCAAAGUGCUGGGAUUACAGAUGUGAGCCACUGUGCCCAGCCCAACUUCCAUUUUUUAGGGGAAAAAGAUUUGGCCCUGCAUGUUUUUUCCUCCUUCCUGAUGCAUAGGAGGGUGAUGACUAGAAUGACCUGCUUAAAGACACCUUGGAUUUUUAUGUGAACAUUGCAGUCUGAGGUCUCUUUAUACAGCUGCCAGCAUUUGCUCUUAUUAGUUCAGAAAUUGGUAUCAGAAGUGAGAUGGUAUCAUAACAAACAGAAAAUAAUGUGGCUCUAAUUUCGUGGUCAGAUAGUGGGUGGUGAUACAUGAAAGCAGAAUGCUCCAGAAAAAUAAGGGGAUGAUUUGAUUCAGGCUGUUGCAAGCGGGAGAGCAUUCAUUCAUGAGCAUCUCAAACAGGAGGGUUAAUAUUUGGGGCUUUAUAAAAACAAAGGAAUCAUUGUGGAAGGGUGGAGGCAGGUCUUAUGUUGGAAUAUGCAAGAGCAAAGUGGUCCUUUGCAAUUAACCCUGUCUUAGAACACAAAAAGGUAGGGGGGAUUCCUGAACUGUUUCUGUUUUUUGGGGGUAGGCAAAAAAUAGGGAAGAUGGCACUCAUUGACCGAGUCACAACGUAUCUGGUCUAAUUGCUGCAGAGGUUGUGGGUCAGAGUUUUAUUGUUAACUAUAGCCUGACUGCUGGGCACAGUGGCUCCUGCCUGUAAUCCCAGCACUUUGGGAGUCCAAGGUGGGCGAAUUGCUUGAACCCAGGAGUUCGAGACCAGCCUGGGCAAUGUGGUGAAACCCUGUCUCUAACAAUAAUAUGAAAAUUAGUUGGUGUGUGCCUGUAGUCCCAGCUACUUGGGGAUGAGGUGGGAGGAUCACUUGAACCCAGGAGGUUGAGGCUGCAGUGAGCCGUAAUUGUGCCACUGCACUUCAGCUUGGGUGACAGAUUGAGACCCUGUCUAAAAAAAUAAAAAUUAAAUAUAAUCUGACCAUUGUCUGUUUGUAUAUGCAGUUUGCUUAGAAAUAUUGUGCAAGCCAUGUAUGUAAUUUAAAAGUUGUCAGCAGUCAUACUUUAAAAAGUAAAAAUAAAUAGGUAAAUUAUUUUUAAUUUUUUUAUUUUUUGAGAUGGAGUCUCACUCCGUUGCCCAGGCUGGAGUGUAGUGGUGUGAUCUUAGCUUACUGCAACCUCCACCUCCCGGGUUCAAGUGAUUCUCCUGCCUCAGCCUCCUGAGUAGCUGCAAUUACAGGCACGUGCUACCACGCCUGGCUAAUUUUUGUAUUUUUUGUAGAGGCUAGGUGAUUCACCCGUCUCGGCCUCCCAAAGUGUUGGGAUUACAGGCGUGAGCCACCAUGCCCAGCCAUAAAUUAGUUUUUAUAGUAUAUUUAACCCAGCAUGUCAAAAAUAAUACAAUUUGAAAAAAGAAUCAAUACAAAUAUUAUUAAUAUGAUAUUUUACUUUGUUCCCUGAAGUCUUUGAAAUUCUGUAUGUAUUUUAUACUUAUAGCACUUCUCACUUCAGAUAGUCAUAUUUCUAGUGCUCACUAGACACGGGUGGCUAGAGGCUACCAGAUUGGACAGCACAAGAGAUGUUAGAACGUUACAGGACUGGAAAUGCUAAUCAAUUCAAUAUUCAAAUCACAGGAGGUAAAAUUUUUGCUGAAAACUAUUUUCAAGGGUCCUUUGAGACUUCUUGGGUAAUCAGAAGAAUCCAGCCUUACAGCAAAGUUCAAAUCAAGGAUGGUCCUCUCCUACUGGAGGCUAUUUCAAAUCACUUCAAGUUAACCCCCAGUUAGGCUGAAAAAUGAGCUUGAAUCAGAUAAGGAAGUAAAGAAUUCGGAAUGGACUGGAAAUAAAAAUACCAGGAGCAGGGCCUGAAAAAGCCAGCA
rnacentral:lncRNA from 1 species